CCCUUAGAGUUUGAUCCUGGCUCAGAUUGAACGCUGGCGGCAUGCCUUACACAUGCAAGUCGAACGGUAACAGGGAGCUUGCUCCGCUGACGAGUGGCGAACGGGUGAGUAAUACAUCGGAACGUGCCCAGUAAUGGGGGAUAGCUCGGCGAAAGCCGGAUUAAUACCGCAUACGCCCUGAGGGGGAAAGUGGGGGACCGCAAGGCCUCACGUUAUUGGAGCGGCCGAUGGCUGAUUAGCUAGUUGGUAGGGUAAAGGCCUACCAAGGCGACGAUCAGUAGCUGGUCUGAGAGGACGAUCAGCCACACUGGGACUGAGACACGGCCCAGACUCCUACGGGAGGCAGCAGUGGGGAAUUUUGGACAAUGGGGGAAACCCUGAUCCAGCAAUGCCGCGUGUGCGAAGAAGGCCUUCGGGUUGUAAAGCACUUUUGUCAGGGAAGAAAUCCUUUGGGCUAAUACCCUAGGGGGAUGACGGUACCUGAAGAAUAAGCACCGGCUAACUACGUGCCAGCAGCCGCGGUAAUACGUAGGGUGCAAGCGUUAAUCGGAAUUACUGGGCGUAAAGCGUGCGCAGGCGGUUGUGUAAGACAGGUGUGAAAUCCCCGGGCUUAACCUGGGAAUUGCAUUUGUGACUGCACGACUAGAGUGUGUCAGAGGGGGGUGGAAUUCCACGUGUAGCAGUGAAAUGCGUAGAUAUGUGGAGGAACACCAAUGGCGAAGGCAGCCCCCUGGGAUAACACUGACGCUCAUGCACGAAAG
rnacentral:rRNA from 1 species